AAGCCUGAUGCAGCCAUGCCGCGUGUGUGAAGAAGGCCUUCGGGUUGUAAAGCACUUUCAGCCGUGAGGAAGGUAGCGUAGUUAAUACCUGCGUUACUUGACGUUAGCGGCAGAAGAAGCACCGGCUAACUCCGUGCCAGCAGCCGCGGUAAUACGGAGGGUGCGAGCGUUAAUCGGAAUUACUGGGCGUAAAGCGCAUGCAGGCGGUCUGUUAAGCAAGAUGUGAAAGCCCCGGGCUUAACCUGGGAGUGGCAUUUUGAACUGGCAGGCUAGAGUCUUGUAGAGGGGGGUAGAAUUUCAGGUGUAGCGGUGAAAUGCGUAGAGAUCUGAAGGAAUACCGGUGGCGAAGGCGGCCCCCUGGACAAAGACUGACGCUCAGAUGCGAAAGCGUGGGGAGCAAACAGGAUUAGAUACCCUGGUAGUCCACGCUGUAAACGAUGUCUACUUGGAGGCUGUGGUCUAGAACCGUGGCUUUCGGAGCUAACGCGUUAAGUAGACCGCCUGGGGAGUACGGUCGCAAGAUUAAAACUCAAAUGAAUUGACGGGGGCCCGCACAAGCGGUGGAGCAUGUGGUUUAAUUCGAUGCAACGCGAAGAACCUUACCUACUCUUGACAUCCUCAGAAGCCGGAAGAGAUUCUGGUGUGCCUUCGGGAACUGAGAGACAGGUGCUGCAUGGCUGUCGUCAGCUCGUGUUGUGAAAUGUUGGGUUAAGUCCCGCAACGAGCGCAACCCUUAUCCUUGUUUGCCAGCACUUCGGGUGGGAACUCCAGGGAGACUGCCGGUGAUAAACCGGAGGAAGGUGGGGACGACGUCAAGUCAUCAUGGCCCUUACGAGUAGGGCUACACACGUGCUACAAUGGUGCAUACAGAGGGCAGCGAGACCGCGAGGUGGAGCGAAUCCCAGAAAGUGCAUCGUAGUCCGGAUUGGAGUCUGCAACUCGACUCCAUGAAGUCGGAAUCGCUAGUAAUCGUGGAUCAGAAUGCCACGGUGAAUACGUUCCCGGGCCUUGUACACACCGCCCGUCACACCAUGGGAGUGGGCUGCACCAGAAGUAGAUAGCUUAACCUUCGGGAGGGCGUUUACCACGGUGUGGU
rnacentral:rRNA from 1 species